rnacentral:lncRNA from 1 species
UUUUUUUUUUGGUCGUUUUAGGGCCAUACCCACAACGUAUGAGGUUUCCAAGCUAGGGGUCGAAUCAGAGCUGAAGCUGCUGGCUUAUGGCACAGCUACAGCCACAGCAAUGCAGGAUCUGAGGCAUGUCUGUGACCUACACCGCAGCUCACAGCAAUGCUGAUCCUUAAGCCACCAAAUAAGGCCAGGGAUCUAACCCACAUCCUCAUGGAUACUAGCCAGGUUUGUUUCCACUGAGCUACAACAAGAACUCCUAAAUGCUUGUUCCAAAUACUAAAUGCCCCAAUAAGGACAGCAGUUAAAACACGUAAGCUCUUAGGUUGAGAAUGGGAGUGUCAGUACAGACCCAACGUACUUAUUUGCUAAUGACUAUUGGCCAGUUUACAAUUUAUCUUUGAUGUACACCCUCAUAUUUGUCCAGUAACUAUCUCACACUGUACACAUAAAAACUCUGUUGACGUUUAUAAGCAUUCUAGCCAUCAGAGCUACUCCAAGAGUGACAGCGGUACUGUGUUAAUCACUUUCUCUCCCCUUCAGAAGAUAAAGAUUCAUUUUCAUUAUUUAAGCUAGGAUCUUACUGUGGCUGAGGUUUAAUGACAGGAAACAAUCACGACUCUUAAACUCCAAUGGCUCAGAAACCAAAAAUCUUUCCACCAAAAAGGAUUCAAUAAAUAUCAUUUUGUAUGUGUUACCCUGUUCCCAGGCUGCAUGUCUUGACUGAAUUUGCAAGUGUGGCAGGUCCCUGUUAGAUCUUUUAUGCAUCCUAUGUGAGGAGCCUGCCUUCCCUGCCUCCGUGUCCCUUUUCCUGUCCCCCCCCACAGGGUUAGGCAGCAGCCUGACCUCAGCCCCUCUCCGCUGGGCCUUGCCUGCCAUCCUCCUCUGGAUGGUCAAGUCAUUUCCUGGAGAAACAGCCUGUCUGUGGAGAAGCUUGGACAACACCGAACAAAGUCUGAGAAGGCAAGGCCUCUUCUGAAGCCAGGUUGGUCUCUUUUCAGAGUGUGACCUGGAGGAAGCCCUUUCCGUAUUUACUCGUGGACUGUCUGCAUAUGUUAUCCUCUGGUUCUGUUUGGCAGAGGCAAUGUAUAAUAUUUUGCUCUCCAUAGAUAUUUUUCUGGGAGGGCUGGUGCAGUGUUAGCCUGAGGCCUCGGAAGGCUUCGUAAGCACUUUCAAAGAGGUGUGACCUGAACUGACUGAAAAUCCCGGAGGCAGAGAAGGGUGUUCACACUUUUUUGUUGCGCCUUCAGAGGCUGGCGCUAUGAACUAUGAACCCUGAGUGUUCCGCCUCGGAUGCGGGCACGUCAUUGGUGCGCCACUCAUCUUCCCACCAAAUAUUUAUGGAACUGCCCCUGCACUGUAAGCGCCUCUGGGUGCUGGAGGUGGACCAGAUAACCUGGUGCCCACUCUCCUGGAGCUUAGCUUCAAAUGGGAGAAGGCUGGCAAUCAGGUCAACGCAAGCAUUUCAAAUAAUGAACAACAGUAGAUGAAAGAAAAUGGCAAAAUGCAGUGACUAGGCCAGGUGACUAGAGAAGGGCUCUCGCAAGGUGACUUAAGAUGAGGCCUGAAUGAACAGGAGGAGUCAGCCUUACAAUCUGCUUUUGUUCCUGCUCCUUGCCAGAACAAAUUACCAUGAGUGAGUGGCUUAAACCAGCACGCACAUAUCAUCUCACAGUUUUGUAGGCUGGAAGUCUAACCUGGGUCUCACUGGGUUAAAACCGAGGUGCUGGCAGGGCGGCGUUCCUUUCUGGAGGCUCCGAGGGAGACUCCACUUCCUUGCCUUCCUGGCCAACUUUAGCUGCAGCCCGAACUGCAUGGUGCAUGGCCCUCUUCAUCUUCAGCACCAGCAAUGAUGGGCUCCAUCCCUCUCACAUCACCAACCUUCAUUCUGUCCCCCUCUUCCACUUUUAAAGAUGCCUGGGAUCCCACUGGGCCCACCUGGAAAAUCUUUAUCUCAAGAUUUCUGUGGGAACUGCCUCUGCUGAUGUCUCAGCGGGAAAAAGGCCAGCCCCAUGACAUGCUGAGGACCCCAGGGAAGACGAGGCUGCACCGGGCAGGUGGGUGCUGGUUUCAAUGUCCAGGUGCUAUACCACCUGGCCCAGGGGUCUUUAAGCCCAACUUCUACUCCCUGGCCUGGACUCCUAUGGUGACCACAAUUCCUGGAGUCCCUCACUCAAAUCUCAUUUCCCAUCUCAUACGCCUGUCAGGCCCUCAUCAUCCCCUGUCCGCACUUCUACAACUUGGUACUUUCCAUACUGGUCUCCAGACUCCAUUUCUCCCUCUGGACACCCUCAACUGAUCUUCCUAAAAUUCAAUCCCUGCUUAAAACUUCUCCCUGGUUUGGAAUAAAAUCCACACACCUAAACUUGGCUUCACAGUCCUCCGCAAGCUGAUCCCCACCUGCCCUUCCUGCCUCCUGUACUGCUCUCUGACUUUGUCGCCCCAGGAGACUGCCCUCUGCCUCCAUACCCUCCGCCUUGCUCCGGCUGCUCCCUCUCCCUCAUCCAGGUAAAAGGAGCUACUUUUGCCUCUGUACUCUCAGGUGCUAUCCUAGGAAGGUGAGGACUAUAGGAUUUCUGUUUGUGUGCCUGGGGCCUAGCAAUACAGAAAAAGUUCAACAUCAUUAGCAUUGAAUGAAUUAACGGCUUGGUGGUAAUUCUGGUCUCUGCUCCCUCCCUCCCAGGUAUUUUCAGAGAGGACCUUCACCCCCUAGCCUUUCUUCCCUAGGUGGGGAACCAUCCCCAUGAUGCUCUCUAGGCAUGUUUCAACUGAGGCUGCAUGGCCAGGUGACACUGUGAGCACAGGUGGGGGCCAGGUCUGAGGCCGUUCUGUAGCCCUGCCCCUUCCUGCUCUAUCCAGAGGCUGCCUUGGCCCUGCAGACAGCUACCCCUGUCCCAUAGGGCUGCUACUUUGCUCCUGAGCCAGGCACCUCUUUCCUGGCCUGUCCCUUUUACGCACUGAGGAAUUUCACAGAGCCUGGAUCAUGUGCCUGAGGGAGAGAAGAGCCCUUGUUUGUUGCAGGGCCACCUCCUUAAAGAAACCCUCCUGCCGUGAAGUAAGAGGGAGCAGCCCAGGCCUGUGUGCUAGGGCAAGCAACUUCUUGUCCUAAGUCCCCUGCACUCAGGAUUCAGCACAGGGGAGAUUUCGGUGCUGCCACCCUGGUGUGCCUCGCACUGUGCCUUACACCGAAAGGCAGGUGUCCCCAUCUGCAAGAACUGAGGCUUGGCGCUUUAAGCAGUGGAGCUGGGACUCAGCCCCGGUUCUUUCACCCUAAGACCAGUGGUCAUCCCUCUCUAUUCCAUAGGAUAUCCUGGCUUGAUAGAAAAUGAGGAUGCAAAACGGCUAAGUCAGGGGUAUGAUUCCUCUGCCUACUGCAAAAUGAGAUGGUUUCAGGGUUUCCAGAAGAGCAGAGAAACAAAGCUGUCUCUCUUGCUCUAGUCUAGCCAUUUCUAGGAAAACCUUGCGGGGUAGGGAAUGGGGGUGGGAGGAUCCUGGACAACAGAUUUCUAUCCAGGAAAGAUUUCAAUAGUUUUUCACCUUUAAAAACUUUUAUUAUGUUUAAAUUUAGCUUUAACAUAAUAUUUAAUAAGCUUAAGUAAUUAGUAAUUAGUAAGUAUUUAAUAAACAAUACAAUUAAUAAUUUUGUCUUUAGAAUCAAUAUUCAAUAUAAGGUACAGGUUAAGAAAACUUUUUUACAUUUUUAAGUUCAACUUAUAAAUUUGUUACUCUAAGUAUAGCAGAUUGUGGUAAUAAUUCUGGAGAAGCCUUUGAAUAAUGCUUAGUCCUAUCUACAAGCUUAGCUCAGCACUGCAAAUGCUUUUGAAUGCAUUUAUAAAUUUAAUAUAUUUAUUUAUUUUUAAAGUACUUCAGUUUUUCUGACAGCACGUAAAAGCUUUCCCAAUCCUAAAUUCUCACAGAAACUAAUAAAUAUAUAAAUAAGAGAAUUUUAAAUGUUUUUAUACUUUACUCAGAUGUCACCAUAAAAAUCAUUAAGUCUAAUUAUACUCGAUUAUACAUUUUAAAGUGGAGUUAUAAAACUGUCAUUCUAAUGGGCCUUAUUCUCUUAAAUACCAUAUGCAUCUACAACAUCAAAUAUGCAGUUUCCUUCCUAAAAUAAAAAUAUCAGAGCUACAGCUUUGUUUCUUUCAAAUCUUUCUCCAUGUAAGCCUAAAUCUUCCUGGUGUUUUGGUUGUUAAGUUAUUGUCUCAGCUUGAAGCCUUUUCAAUAGUUUGGAAUGCUGGGGCUGACACACCACCCACCUGUUUUUAUGAGCAGGGUCCCUGUUAGCUCUGCCAAUGAGGGCGCUAGAGGGAGCCUGGAAGGUUAGCAGAGUGAGAUGAGACUGCUGGUCUCUGCUUCCCAUCUUGGGAGCACUGCACUGGCAGUUGGGUUCAGUGAUAGCAAUUGGCUCCAAUUUGUAGGUUUUCUUUCCUCUGUCCCAGAACCUACCUCCACAUUCCCCUCACUCCCUGCAACAGCAGCACUGGCUGGCCCGGUCCCUCCUCAGAAGUCAGCCCAGCUCUCAGCAGCCCUCCCCAACCCUUGACAUCUCAAGCAUCCCCAACUCUUCCUUCUGAGGGUGGUAGUUGCUUCCUAUAGCUACUUCUGUGAUUCCUCGGUCCACUCUUUGCCAUUUUACUUGUCUAAUACAUGAUUAAUUCUAUUAAAUGCUCCCUAUUAAAAUGAUGGAUGUGGUUUCUGACCUCUGACUAGACCCAGACUGAUGACCUGGUGUUGAAAACUACACACCUACUAAAGAAGACAGUAACCAUUCCAGUUAACCAAUGUUACACAAGACCAGAAACUUCCUUUGCGCCUGAGACCACAACCUGCAGACUUUCAGAGUUUCUUCUCAUCCCUACCUAAGGAAACCACAGUAUUUUAGGUAAUUUGGGUGAUUGUUCCUCAGCAUUCUUGAAAUUACCAGUGAAGUAUACUUGAUUCUUAACAGCAUCCCCAACAGACACUGAGUGAUAUUUAUGAUUUUUUUUAGUCAAUGACUUCAUAACCUAAAGGAAGUAUUAGACACUUUCCUAGUUCUCCCGUCUACCUUCAUAAGCAUGCCUUUCUCACCAAGUCACUCAUUAAACUGGUUCUUAAUUUCCUUGGUUAUUCUGACCUAAGUCUAAUCACCUCUAAGAAGAAUCCUAAGCAAUGCAAGUACUUUGAGCCUAACAGGCUCCUGAAUUCUUUCAUAUUCUCGGGAACACAUAAUAACUUUUAACAAAUACCUAAACUUUACUCUGAUAUCAGUUAUAUAUCGACAAUAGCUUUGUUUGAGGUCCAGUUUAUGAGGUCAUUCCAUUCUCUGUAGACUGAACUAGGAUCAAGUCAGUUGUCUGCCAAUAGAAACAUUUGCUGCUCAUUCUAAGGCACUUUUGAGAAAGGGCUCAGUAAGUGGAAAUAGCAUACAGCCUCUGGUUCUGGCCAUGGGGGAAUGACUUGUAUUAGAUGAAUCUUUCUGCCAAAAUAAUAUAAAAGUUGGACAAACAUAUAAAGCAUCUGUUUAAAAGAAAUGCAAAGCACCCGGUGCAGGCAGUAUCUGAACUUCCAUCACCUCUAAGAGAAAGGAAACAAAUGAGGCAAGAAACACAUUCACUCUGGUUUUUCCACAGGGUUUUUCCCCAAGUCACUGGUAGGGGUGGAGGUGGGAGGGAGUGGGUGAUAGUAGCAAGCAACAGUCUUACUGGGCUGAGAUCAGAGUUUAAGGCUGGAGAGUAGUGGAACCUGAAGGGAGAGUGAUGGAGAGGACUGGAUGAGAAAUCUGCAUAGAUGUUCUGCUAAAGUUGUUGGCUGACCCCUAAGCUGAGUUCUCAUGCAGCGAGAACUCCAAGAAACCCAGUAGAAAGCGGGAGCUGGGAUGCUAAAGAGCUUAACAGAUUUUAGCUGCUGCAGAAUGCUGAGGAGACAGUGGAGGGGCUUUGGACAACAUCCUGGGCUUCUGGUUGAGGCCCAACAAGGCCACAUUCUGGGAAUAAGGGUCAUGCCCAGUAACAAGAUGGAGGACUAAAAUACAAGGAAAUCAGAAGUUACAUUAAAAGUAAAUGAAUGAUACACUCCAAUGGAAAGACAGAGAUGACCAGACCAGACUAAAAAAUAAAAACAUGCUGCAAAUAAUGCAACUGACAAGGGCUUAAUUUCUAAAAUAUACAAAUAGGUCAUAUAACUCAGUAACAAAAAAAUAAAUAACGAAUCAAAAAAUGGGCAGAAGACCUAAACAGACAUUUCUCCAAAGACAUACAGAUAGCCAAUAAGCAUAUGAAAAGAUGCUCAUCAUUGCUAAUUAUUAGAGAAAUGAAAUCAAAACUACAAUGAGGUGUCACCUCACACCGGUCAGAAUGGUUAUUAUUAAAAUGUCGACAAAUACUAAAUGCUGGAGGGUGUGGUGAAAAGGAAACUCUCUUACAUGUUGGUGGGAAUGUAAACUGGUGCAGCCACUAUGGAAAACAGUAUGAAGGCUUCUCAAAAAACUAAAAAUACAGUUGCCAUAUGGUCCAGCAAUUCCAUUCCUGGGCAUAUAUCCAUACAAAACUAUAAUUCAAAGAGGUUUAUGCACCCCUAUGUUCACAGCAGUACUAUUCACAAUAGCCAAGACAUGGAAGCAUCCUGAAUGUCCAUCAACAGAUGAAUGGAUAAAGAAG